CCCUUAGACGUUCUGGGCCGCACGCGUGCUACACUGAGUAAUUCAAUGGGUAAGGGAACGCUAGAGCAUUACCUAAUCUUGAAAUUUGCUCGUGAUGGGGAUCGACGGUUGCAAUUUUCCGUCGUGAACGAGGAAUACCUUGUAGGCGCAUGUCAUCAUCAUGCGCCGAAUACGUCCCUGCCCUUUGUACACACCGCCCGUCGCUCCUACCGAUUGAGUGAUCCGGUGAGGCUCUGGGACCUGGACGGAAAGAGCGUUUCGCUUGUUCUGUUUGGGAAACUUGGUCGAACCUUAUCAUUUAGAGGAAGGAGAAGUCGUAACA
rnacentral:rRNA from 1 species